UAAAGAGUAGAGAGAGUAAUCCACAAACUGCUUCUUAGUUUGUGAGAAAAUAUUGUGCAAGUAAUAUUAUUGUGAGUUGUAAGAAAUAAAAGAGUGUUGAGUAGUAGUCUUUUAACACAACCAACUUUUUGAUCAAUAUUAUUAUAUUACUUAUUCGGAUCCUAGCUCCAACCGUCAGUGUUGAUUAGGACAGCUUUGGAGAUCUUUGGAGAUUGAGGGUGAGCUGAUGGUGUUUUAGUUUAGCCUAUCUCCUUCUGUAUAUAACUUUUGGGCUAGUUUUUUUUUUAUAUUUCAGUUAAGUCUGUACUCUUUGAUCCACUUUGUGACUUAUACUCGUAUAGUAGCUUUAUAUUGAUAUCCACCAGGUUGGAGGUUUGGAUCUUGUA